GUAGGAUCUCGUAGGUGACCUGCGGAGGGACAUUACACAAAUAUGAAGGCGGGCUGGAACCUCUCGGGGUUACAGCCUUGCUGAAUUAUUCACCCUUGUCUUUUGCGUACUUCUUGUUUCCUUGGUGGGUUCGCCCACCACUAGGACAAACAUAAACCUUUUGUAAUUGCAAUCAGCGUCAGUAACAAAUUAAUAAUUACAACUUUCAACAACGGAUCUCUUGGUUCUGGCAUCGAUGAAGAACGCAGCGAAAUGCGAUAAGUAGUGUGAAUUGCAGAAUUCAGUGAAUCAUCGAAUCUUUGAACGCACAUUGCGCCCUUUGGUAUUCCAAAGGGCAUGCCUGUUCGAGCGUCAUUUGUACCCUCAAGCUUUGCUUGGUGUUGGGCGUCUUGUCUCUAGCUUUGCUGGAGACUCGCCUUAAAGUAAUUGGCAGCCGGCCUACUGGUUUCGGAGCGCAGCACAAGUCGCACUCUCUAUCAGCAAAGGUCUAGCAUCCAUUAAGCCUUUUUUUCAACUUUUGACCUCGGAUCAGGUAGGGAUACCCGCUGAACUUAA
rnacentral:rRNA from 1 species